AAUGUCUUGGCAUGAAAUUUUAAAGUGGAACUGAUCAUCAGUGAUUCACUAAAUAAUUUGUAAGUGAAGUUUGUCUUCAACUGGUAAGGUUCAGUAGUAUUUGUCAAUUGCCAUACCCUCACUUGAUAUCUUGCUUACUGCUCCCAAUCUCUUUGGCAUUGAGUUUUUCUAUUAUUUUCUCCUGUCAGACCCAGGUAGAGUUUUUCUGAUUAAGUAAUACCAAGUAAUUUAACCUUUCUGAGCCUAGUCUAUUCAUCUGUGUAGUGGG
rnacentral:lncRNA from 1 species